rnacentral:tRNA from 1 species
GUUUCAGUUGGCAAAAAUGGUUGAAAAUCAUGAUUGCCAACUGCGGCAAAUACGGGCUACUAUCGGCUGUAACACGCUUAUUAUGAACGCUUUACGCCAUUCUACGGAUCAGAAGGUUUGGGGUUCGAGUCCCUACGGGUGCGCCA